AUUGGAAAGAGGAGUGGCGGACGGGUGAGUAACACGUGGGUAACCUACCCAUCAGAGGGGGAUAACACUUGGAAACAGGUGCUAAUACCGCAUAACAGUUUAUGCCGCAUGGCAUAAGAGUGAAAGGCGCUUUCGGGUGUCGCUGAUGGAUGGACCCGCGGUGCAUUAGCUAGUUGGUGAGGUAACGGCUCACCAAGGCCACGAUGCAUAGCCGACCUGAGAGGGUGAUCGGCCACACUGGGACUGAGACACGGCCCAGACUCCUACGGGAGGCAGCAGUAGGGAAUCUUCGGCAAUGGACGAAAGUCUGACCGAGCAACGCCGCGUGAGUGAAGAAGGUUUUCGGAUCGUAAAACUCUGUUGUUAGAGAAGAACAAGGACGUUAGUAACUGAACGUCCCCUGACGGUAUCUAACCAGAAAGCCACGGCUAACUACGUGCCAGCAGCCGCGGUAAUACGUAGGUGGCAAGCGUUGUCCGGAUUUAUUGGGCGUAAAGCGAGCGCAGGCGGUUUCUUAAGUCUGAUGUGAAAGCCCCCGGCUCAACCGGGGAGGGUCAUUGGAAACUGGGAGACUUGAGUGCAGAAGAGGAGAGUGGAAUUCCAUGUGUAGCGGUGAAAUGCGUAGAUAUAUGGAGGAACACCAGUGG
rnacentral:rRNA from 1 species